GCCUGGUUUAUGUCAGAUACACUUUGAGCUCUGAGACUUUCUAGAUAUUAACAAAGUACUACACAAAGAAAGCCAUGGUAUAGGACGAUGGCCCUACGAUGACACAAGGCCCUGAAUCAAGAUUAAACUAAAUCACAUAUUUACCAAGGCAGGAGAUUGUGCAAUUUCUUUCAAUUAGUGUUGAAACAAAAACCUUGAUGAUUAACUCCAUAUAAAUCUUAGUAUCCAAUUAUUUAAAUAUUCUCAUUAUUCAAAGCUCUACUCACAAGCA
rnacentral:lncRNA from 1 species